GCUACCAUGCAAGUCGAGCGGUAGCACAGAGAGCUUGCUCUCGGGUGACGAGCGGCGGACGGGUGAGUAAUGUCUGGGAAACUGCCUGAUGGAGGGGGAUAACUACUGGAAACGGUAGCUAAUACCGCAUAAUGUCGCAAGACCAAAGUGGGGGACCUUCGGGCCUCAUGCCAUCAGAUGUGCCCAGAUGGGAUUAGCUAGUAGGUGGGGUAACGGCUCACCUAGGCGACGAUCCCUAGCUGGUCUGAGAGGAUGACCAGCCACACUGGAACUGAGACACGGUCCAGACUCCUACGGGAGGCAGCAGUGGGGAAUAUUGCACAAUGGGCGCAAGCCUGAUGCAGCCAUGCCGCGUGUGUGAAGAAGGCCUUCGGGUUGUAAAGCACUUUCAGCGGGGAGGAAGGCGUUAAGGUUAAUAACCUUGUCGAUUGACGUUACCCGCAGAAGAAGCACCGGCUAACUCCGUGCCAGCAGCCGCGGUAAUACGGAGGGUGCAAGCGUUAAUCGGAAUUACUGGGCGUAAAGCGCACGCAGGCGGUCUGUCAAGUCGGAUGUGAAAUCCCCGGGCUCAACCUGGGAACUGCAUUCGAAACUGGCAGGCUAGAGUCUUGUAGAGGGGGGUAGAAUUCCAGGUGUAGCGGUGAAAUGCGUAGAGAUCUGGAGGAAUACCGGUGGCGAAGGCGGCCCCCUGGACAAAGACUGACGCUCAGGUGCGAAAGCGUGGGGAGCAAACAGGAUUAGAUACCCUGGUAGUCCACGCCGUAACGAUGUCGAUUUGGAGGUUGUGCCCUUGAGGCGUGGCUUCCGGAGCUAACGCGUUAAAUCGACCGCCUGGGGAGUACGGCCGCAAGGUUAAAACUCAAAUGAAUUGACGGGGGCCCGCACAAGCGGUGGAGCAUGUGGUUUAAUUCGAUGCAACGCGAAGAACCUUACCUGGUCUUGACAUCCACAGAACUUUCCAGAGAUGGAUUGGUGCCUUCGGGAACUGUGAGACAGGUGCUGCAUGGCUGUCGUCAGCUCGUGUUGUGAAAUGUUGGGUUAAGUCCCGCAACGAGCGCAACCCUUAUCCUUUGUUGCCAGCGGUUAGGCCGGGAACUCAAAGGAGACUGCCAGUGAUAAACUGGAGGAAGGUGGGGAUGACGUCAAGUCAUCAUGGCCCUUACGACCAGGGCUACACACGUGCUACAAUGGCAUAUACAAAGAGAAGCGACCUCGCGAGAGCAAGCGGACCUCAUAAAGUAUGUCGUAGUCCGGAUUGGAGUCUGCAACUCGACUCCAUGAAGUCGGAAUCGCUAGUAAUCGUAGAUCAGAAUGCUACGGUGAAUACGUUCCCGGGCCUUGUACACACCGCCCGUCACACCAUGGGAGUGGGUUGCAAAAGAAGUAGGUAGCUUAACCUUCGGGAGGGCGCUACCACU
rnacentral:rRNA from 1 species